GGGUUGUUACUGGGAGCACUGGGAGGGUGCUGGGGGAUCACUGGGGUGUUACUGGGAGCACUGGGAGGGUGCUGGGGGGUCACUGGGGUGUUACUGGGAGCACUGGGAGGGUCACUGGUGUCACUGGGGGGGUGUCACCGGUGCCCCUCCCCCCCAGGUUCGAGCAGGAGGUUUUGGGGGCUCCAGGCCCCACCCCCGGGGACCCGCUGGCCCCGCCCCCCAUCCUGCAGCCAAUCAUCGCCACCAACACCUACCAGCAGGUCAGCAGCGACAUCCUUGGAGGAGCCUCAGGAUUGCUCCCUGCAGUGAUCCCUGCUCCACCCUUGGAAUCCAGAGCAAAAUCCCAGGGAAUGCUCCGUGCCUGCAGCUCUCCCGCUCUGGGCUGUGCCUCCUCCACACAGCUUCUCCUGGGAAGUUCUCUGCAGCCCAGCACAGGAGGAUCCAGCUCUGCUCGCGGCCCUCUGCUCCUGGAGUCGUCGAGGAGCAGCUGCAACAAUUCCCCGAGUCCCA